rnacentral:rRNA from 1 species
GACGGGGGGUCCGUAGCGUUGUUCGGAAUCAUUGGGCGUAAAGCGUGUGUAGGUGGUUGGUAAGUUGAUGUGAAAGCCUUAGGGCUUAACCCAAGAAGUUGCAUUCAAAACUACCAAAUCAUUGAGUAGGGUAAGAGGGUCGUGGAAUUCCGAGGUGUAGUGGUGAAAUAUCGUAGGAAUAUCGGAGGAACACCGGUGGCGGAAGGCGG